UAGUUGGUGAGGUAAAGGCUCACCAAGGCGACGAUCUGUAGCGGGUCUGAGAGGAUGAUCCGCCACACUGGAACUGAGACACGGUCCAGACUCCUACGGGAGGCAGCAGUGGGGAAUUUUGGACAAUGGGGGCAACCCUGAUCCAGCCAUGCCGCGUGAGUGAAGAAGGCCUUCGGGUUGUAAAGCUCUUUCGGCCGGGAAGAAAUCGUAUGGGUUAAUACCCUGUGCGGAUGACGGUACCGGCAUAAGAAGCACCGGCUAACUACGUGCCAGCAGCCGCGGUAAUACGUAGGGUGCGAGCGUUAAUCGGAAUUACUGGGCGUAAAGCGUGCGCAGGCGGUUUUGUAAGACAGGCGUGAAAUCCCCGGGCUCAACCUGGGAACUGCGCUUGUGACUGCAAGGCUAGAGUAUGGCAGAGGGGGGUGGAAUUCCACGUGUAGCAGUGAAAUGCGUAGAGAUGUGGAGGAACACCAAUGGCGAAGGCAGCCCCCUGGGCCAAUACUGGCGCUCAUGCACGAAAGCGUGGGUAGCAAACAGGAUUAGAUACCCUGGUAGUCCACGCCCUAAACGAUGUCAACUAGGUGUUGGGUGGGUAAAACCAUUUAGUACCGGAGCUAACGCGUGAAGUUGACCGCCUGGGGAGUACGGCCGCAAGGUUAAAACUCAAAGGAAUUGACGGGGACCCGCACAAGCGGUGGAUGAUGUGGAUUAAUUCGAUGCAACGCGAAAAACCUUACCUACCCUUGACAUGUCCAGGAGCCUGAAGAGAUUUGGGUGUGCCCGAAAGGGAACUGGAACACAGGUGCUGCAUGGCUGUCGUCAGCUCGUGUCGUGAGAUGUUGGGUUAAGUCCCGCAACGAGCGCAACCCUUGUCGUUAAUUGCCAUCAUUUAGUUGGGCACUUUAACGAGACUGCCGGUGACAAACCGGAGGAAGGUGGGGAUGACGUCAAGUCCUCAUGGCCCUUAUGGGUAGGGCUUCACACGUCAUACAAUGGUCGGUACAAAGGGUUGCCAACCCGCGAGGGGGAGCCAAUCCCAGAAAGCCGAUCGUAGUCCGGAUCGCAGGCUGCAACUCGCCUGCGUGAAGUCGGAAUCGCUAGUAAUCGUGGAUCAGCAUGUCACGGUGAAUACGUUCCCGGGUCUUGUACACACCGCCCGUCACACCAUGGGAGCGGGUUCCGCCAGAAGUAGGUAGCCUAACCGCAAGGGGGGCGCUUACCACGGCGGGGUUCGUGACUGGGGUGAAGUCGAAACAAGGUA
rnacentral:rRNA from 1 species